rnacentral:rRNA from 1 species
GAUGAACGCUGGCGGCGUGCCUAAUACAUGCAAGUCGAGCGAACGGACGAGAAGCUUGCUUUUCUGAUGUUAGCGGCGGACGGGUGAGUAACACGUGGAUAACCUACCUAUAAGACUGGGAUAACUUCGGGAAACCGGAGCUAAUACCGGAUAAUAUUUUGAACCGCAUGGUUCAAAAGUGAAAGACGGUCUUGCUGUCACUUAUAGAUGGAUCCGCGCUGCAUUAGCUAGUUGGUAAGGUAACGGCUUACCAAGGCAACGAUGCAUAGCCGACCUGAGAGGGUGAUCGGCCACACUGGAACUAAGACACGGUCCAGACUCCUACGGGAGGCAGCAGUAGGGAAUCUUCCGCAAUGGGCGAAAGCCUGACGGAGCAACGCCGCGUGAGUGAUGAAGGUCUUCGGAUCGUAAAACUCUGUUAUUAGGGAAGAACAUAUGUGUAAGUAACUGUGCACAUCUUGACGGUACCUAAUCAGAAAGCCACGGCUAACUACGUA